rnacentral:rRNA from 1 species
AGAGUUUGAUCAUGGCUCAGACUGAACGCUGGCGGCAGGCCUAACACAUGCAAGUCGAGCGGUAGAGAGAAGCUUGCUUCUCUUGAGAGCGGCGGACGGGUGAGUAAUACCUAGGAAUCUGCCUGAUAGUGGGGGAUAACGUUCGGAAACGGACGCUAAUACCGCAUACGUCCUACGGGAGAAAGCAGGGGACCUUCGGGCCUUGCGCUAUCAGAUGAGCCUAGGUCGGAUUAGCUAGUUGGUGAGGUAAUGGCUCACCAAGGCUACGAUCCGUAACUGGUCUGAGAGGAUGAUCAGUCACACUGGAACUGAGACACGGUCCAGACUCCUACGGGAGGCAGCAGUGGGGAAUAUUGGACAAUGGGCGAAAGCCUGAUCCAGCCAUGCCGCGUGUGUGAAGAAGGUCUUCGGAUUGUAAAGCACUUUAAGUUGGGAGGAAGGGCAGUUACCUAAUACGUGAUUGUCUUGACGUUACCGACAGAAUAAGCACCGGCUAACUCUGUGCCAGCAGCCGCGGUAAUACAGAGGGUGCAAGCGUUAAUCGGAAUUACUGGGCGUAAAGCGCGCGUAGGUGGUUUGUUAAGUUGAAUGUGAAAUCCCCGGGCUCAACCUGGGAACUGCAUCCAAAACUGGCAAGCUAGAGUAUGGUAGAGGGUAGUGGAAUUUCCUGUGUAGCGGUGAAAUGCGUAGAUAUAGGAAGGAACACCAGUGGCGAAGGCGACUACCUGGACUGAUACUGACACUGAGGUGCGAAAGCGUGGGGAGCAAACAGGAUUAGAUACCCUGGUAGUCCAA